rnacentral:rRNA from 1 species
CCCUUAGAUGUUCUGGGCUGCACGCGCGCUACACUGAUGCGCUCAACGAGUUUACGACCUUGCCCGGAAGGGUUGGGUAAUCUUUUUAAAACGCAUCGUGAUGGGGAUAGAUUAUUGCAAUUAUUAAUCUUUAACGAGGAAUUCCUAGUAAGCGCGAGUCAUCAGCUCGUGCUGAUUACGUCCCUGCCCUUUGUACACACCGCCCGUCGCUCCUACCGAUUGAGUGGUCCGGUGAGGCUUUGGGAUCUGGAUGGAAAGAGCGUUUCGCUGUUUCUGCCCGGAAAACUCAGUCGAACCUUAUCAUUUAGAGGAAGGAGAAGUCGUAACA